UGUCCCAUCCAUCCCAACCCUUAAGGUACUAGAUCCCAUUUGAUCCUUGUAGCUAAGCAGGUUCAGCCCUGAUUAGCACUUGGGUAGGAGACAGGUAAUGAUUCUCAGAAUAGUUAGGGCAC
rnacentral:rRNA from 11 species